rnacentral:rRNA from 1 species
AGCAGCCGCGGUAAUUCCAGCUCCAAUAGCGUAUAUUAAAGUUGUUGCAGUUAAAAAGCUCGUAGUUGAAUUUCGGGAUCAAAUUGUCGGUCGUGCCUCGGUACGCACUGGUAUUAUUGGUUCCUACCUUCUGAAGAACCGCGAUGUCAUUAAUUUGGUGUCGUGGGGAAUCAGGACUGUUACUUUGAAAAAAUUAGAGUGUUUAAAGCAGGCUUACGCUUGAAUACAUUAGCAUGGAAUAAUGAAAUAGGACGUUUGAUUCUAUUUUGUUGGUUUCUAGGAUUGACGUAAUGAUUAAUAGGGAUAGUUGGGGGCAUUAGUAUUCAAUUGUCAGAGGUGAAAUUCUUGGAUUUAUUGAAGACUAACUACUGCGAAAGCAUUUGCCAAGGAUGUUUUCAUUAAUCAAGAACGAAAGUUAGGGGAUCGAAGACGAUCAGAUACCGUCGUAGUCUUAACCAUAAACUAUGCCGACUAGGGAUCGGAUGAUGUUAAUUUUUAANGACUCAUUCGGCGCCUUACG